rnacentral:rRNA from 1 species
AACCUUCCCUAUAGUAGAGGAUAGCCCGGCGAAAGUCGGAUUAAUACUCUAUGUUUUCCGUUGCAGACAUCUAAGAAGGAACAAAGGCUUGCCGCUAUAGGAUGGGGGAUGCGUCUGAUUAGGUAGUCGGCGGGGUAACGGCCCACCGAGCCAUCGAUCAGUAGGGGUUCUGAGAGGAAGGUCCCCCACAUUGGAACUGAGACACGGUCCAAACUCCUACGGGAGGCAGCAGUGAGGAAUAUUGGUCAAUGGGCGAGAGCCUGAACCAGCCAAGUAGCGUGCAGGAUGACGGCCCUAUGGGUUGUAAACUGCUUUUAUGCGGGGAUAAAGUUCACUACGUGUAGUGUUUUGUAGGUACCGCAUGAAUAAGGACCGGCUAAUUCCGUGCCAGCAGCCGC